UGGCGCCUACGGGAGGCAGCAGUGAGGAAUAUUGGUCAAUGGCCGGGAGGCUGAACCAGCCACGUCGCGUGAGGGAAGACGGCCCUACGGGUUGUAAACCUCUUUUGUCAGGGAGCAAGGGGCGGGUCGAGACCUGCUGUGAGAGUACCUGAAGAAAAAGCAUCGGCUAACUCCGUGCCAGCAGCCGCGGUAAUACGGAGGAUGCGAGCGUUAUCCGGAUUUAUUGGGUUUAAAGGGUGCGCAGGCGGAGGCACAAGUCAGCGGUAAAAUCGCGGGGCUCAACCCCGCUCCGCCGUUGAAA
rnacentral:rRNA from 1 species